GUGAGGAAUAUUGGGCAAUGGGCGAAAGCCUGACCCAGCCACGCCGCGUGAGUGAUGAAGGCCUUCGGGUUGUAAAGCUCUGUGGGGAGGGAAGAAAAAGCGGGAGAGUAACUGCUCUCGUGUUGACGGUACCUCCUUAGCAAGCACCGGCUAACUCUGUGCCAGCAGCCGCGGUAAUACAGAGGGUGCAAACGUUGCUCGGAAUUACUGGGCGUAAAGCGCGAGUAGGCUGACAUGCAAGUCGUGUGUGAAAUCCCAGGGCUCAACCUUGGAACUGCAGUCGAAACUGCACGUCUUGAGUACUGGAGAGGGAAGCGGAAUUCCGGGUGUAGAGGUGAAAUUCGUAGAUAUCCGGAGGAACACCAGUGGCGAAGGCGGCUUCCUGGACAGUAACUGACGCUGAGACGCGAAAGCGUGGGGAGCAAACAGGAUUAGAAACCCGUGUAGUCC
rnacentral:rRNA from 1 species